UGCAGGCUCACUGCUGUGGUGUGUCUCUUCCUUACAGUACAGAGUGUGGCACAGCCACAGCUACUGUGUUUGCAGGCAGUUAGGAAUUGAGUCCCUUCUGCAAAGUGAGGAGACCCCCAGUCUCUCUCAGAGGGAGUCCACUGAAACUAAUAGGAGUUAAGGGUGCUCAAUGUUUUUUUUCCUUCUCUUAACAAAAUUAAUUUUUUAGAGAUGGGGGGUACAUUUCCUGAAUGGCAUUAACUAAAAAUGACUUCAGCUGCCAGAGAACUCUGCAGACAGGAAGUGGCCUUCACACCACUUCCUCUUGGAAGUUACUGUGCAGAGUGAGCUGCUAUGUAGUAUGAGCACUGGCAGAACAGGGUUGUCUCUACUUUCCAACCAACUGGGAGAAGCCUUUGCAGUGGGAUUUAGCCUGCAAGAUGCUGUGGGGUGCCUGGAAACUUCACCUCUCAAGAGAAGUGAGCAAGCUGUUGCACUGUGGACAGAAGGAAGGGCUGCAAUAGUCUAGCACGGAAACACUUGCCUGAGAAGCUGCAACAAACUUCCUUUCAAUAAAACUGAAACAGUGGCUUGUACCAAGAGAAAUGAAUGUCUCCUUAGCCUCCCUGAGCAGAUGCCUUGUUGAUACUUGAGUGCAGCUUGCUCUGAGUGAUCCAUCAGCAGCCCAGCAAUGAGAGGAAAAUGGCCUUUGCUUUCCAGACCAGUUAAGGUUCUCAGGCAGGGACAGAUUUGAGAGAUUGGCAGGGAUCAGCUGCUGCCACCAGCUACAGGAUGUACUGGACAAGACACCAGAAGUGAUUGGGAAGGUGUGGGCCUUGGAAUGGGAAAGAGACAGACAUUAAGAGGCAAUUACACAAUCAGAUUGGGAAGGAAGCUCCUAGAAGGAAAAUGGUAGCACAUGCUGUUAACCCUGUUCAGACAAAACAUAGAAUCAUAGAAAUGUAGGCCUGGAAGAGUCCUCGAUGGGUCAUCUAGUCCAGUCCCCUGCAACGAGGCAAGACCAAGUAUUAUCGAGACCAUGAAUGACAGGUGUUUGUCCAACCUGUUCUUAAAAACCUCCAAUAAUGGAGAUUGCACAACAUCCCUAGCCCGAGAUCCUACACCAUUUACACUGAUGUUUCCUGUGUUAGUUGUCCGAUGACUGCUAACCUUUCUGGUGAAAACUGAAGCAAAACAACCUAAAGAAGAGCUCUGUGUAGCUUGAAAGCUUCUCUCUUUCACCAACAGAAGUUGGUUCAAUAAAAGAUAUUACCUCACCCACCUUGUCUCUCUUAUCCUGGGACCAACAAGACUACAACACUGCAUGAAACAAAAGGAGGCACUUAACACGUUGGCCAUUGCUGUAUUUUCAUGCUAAGUUUGAAGGCACCUAUGCAUCUGAAGAAGUGGGCUGUAGCCCAUGAAAGCUUUAUGCUCAAAUACAUUUGUUAGUCUCUAAGGUGCCACAAGUACUCCUGUUCUUUCACUUUAAACGUUUGAAAUGUAAAGUGAAUCUAGUGCUGGAGAAAGGUGCCAGUUUCACAGCCUUGAAUAAUUGAAGUCCUCUGGUUUUUCCACUCAACUUUCUAGAAAACCAUCUCAUACUGAGAGUUAACUUUAAUAGCAAUGAUGGCAUCUGGUCAAUUAGGAAACAAAAAAAAUAUAUAAUUAAUUCUUAUUAUAACAAUCUAUAGCCCACUAACAACCCCCAUCCCAAGCUGCCUUUUUUCCUUCUUCUCUCCCCCUACCCCAUGAAUGGGCCACUUCACCUU